rnacentral:rRNA from 1 species
CAGCCGUAAACUAUGCGCGUUAGGUGUAUCGGUGACCACGAGUCACCGAGGUGCCGAAGGGAAACCGUGAAACGUGCCGCCUGGGAAGUACGGCCGCAAGGCUGGAACUUAAAGGAAUUGGCGGGGGAGCACCACAACGGGUGGAGCCUGCGGUUUAAUUGGACUCAACGCCGGGAAGCUCACCGGAUAAGACAGCGGAAUGAUUGCCGGGCUGAAGACUCUGCAUGACUAGCUGAGAGGAGGUGCAUGGCGUAGACGUCU